GUAGGUGGCAAGCGUUGUCCGGAAUUAUUGGGCGUAAAGCGCGCGCAGGCGGUUCUUUAAGUCUGAUGUGAAAGCCCACGGCUCAACCGUGGAGGGUCAUUGGAAACUGGAGAACUUGAGUACAGAAGAGGAAAGCGGAAUUCCACGUGUAGCGGUGAAAUGCGUAGAGAUGUGGAGGAACACCAGUGGCGAAGGCGGCUUUCUGGUCUGUAACUGACGCUGAGGCGCGAAAGCGUGGGGAGCAAACAGGGAUUAGAUACCCUGGUAGUCCACGCCGUAAACGAUGAGUGCUAAUGUUAGGGGGGGUUUCCCGCCCCCCUUAGUGCUGCAGCUAACGCAUUAAGCACUCCGCCUGGGGAGUACGGCCGCAAGGCUG
rnacentral:rRNA from 1 species